rnacentral:rRNA from 1 species
GUCUGUAUGAAGUUAUAUAAAGUCUAGCCUGCCCAUUGAAUAAUUUAAAAGGCCGCGGUAUAUUAACUGUGCAAAGGUAGCAUAAUCAUUAGUUUUUUAAUUGAAGGCUUGUAUGAAGGGUUGGACAAAGAAUAAUCUGUUUUUAUUUUUAUUUUUGAAUUUAACUUUUAAGUGAAAAGGCUUAAAUGAAUUUAAGGGACGAUAAGACCCUAUAAAUCUUUAUAUUAGAUUAUUUUUAAGUUAUUUAAUAUUGUAAAUAUAAUAAUAAAAUAAUAUAUAUUGUGUUGGGGUGAUGAGAAUAUAAUGAAUAACUGUUCUAAAAUGAAAACAAAAUUAUUUGUGAAAAUAAUAGAUCCUUUAUUGAGAUUAAAAGUUUAAGUUACUUUAGGGAUAACAGCGUUAUUUUUUUUGAGAGUUCUUAUCGAAAAAAAAGUUUGCGACCUCGAUGUUGAAUUAAAAUUUCUUUGUGGUGUAGUUGUUACAAGAGAGAGUCUGUUCGACUUUUAAAUUUUU